rnacentral:lncRNA from 1 species
CUGGAACUUCAGGAUCACGCCCUGAGCCAAAGGCAGAUGCUUAACCACUAAGCCACGCAGGCAUCCCAGAGUAAUCCUAUUUAAUUAAAGAGUGAAGAAAGCAAAUAAUGGUAACUUAAAGGAACAAAGAAGUGACCUGGGAAGUACAAAAGGAAGUCAUGGAACAAGAAGCAUUUUAAAAAGUAAAUCAACAGGAAUCCCUAAACAAAUGGAAGUCUAAAGGUCUCAGAUUUAAAGGAAAAAUAAAGGGAAGUAAAGCUGCCUAGGAUGGGUAAAGGAAAAGUUCAGUUUCAGGGCAAGAAAGUGAAAUGUGAUUGUGAUUAUAAAGGUGAUAAAAAUGCAGCUGGACAUGGAAAAAGAACAAGAGAAGAAACAGACAAGGAGAACCUGCAUUGAAACAACAGAAAACAGAAAAUGGUGCUGGAGACAAGUAGUUUAGGGAACAAAUUGUAUAUUCAUUUUAAUUAGAUUUUAAGUUGCUGUUGUCUUUGGAGGCUUCUAAAAAGGAAACUGAAUUAGGUUCCCUUCAGUGUCACUUUUUUUUUUUUUUUAGUGAUUAGGGCUUUUAUGCAAGAAACACACAAACUGACUUGAUGAGGUAUUAAUUGAAGUUAUGACUUUGACUCUGGGGCCUGACUUUGAAUAUCUUAUUCUCAGGAACUGUAGACCUUGCCCAACUGAUCCUUUUUGCCAAAGCCAGUNGCAGCUGCGAUCCCUGCUCCCUCCACUGUCUUUUGUGCUACUGCUGUCACCCCUGUCACCACGGCCUCACCAACAUAAGACUAGAAGAAUCUUAACAGAGGUCAAUAUAAAUGAAAAGUAAAUGCCAGUUUUAAGCCACACAAAAAUCUCAUGGCAAGGCAGAGGAUCUUAUUGAGAAAAACCAUAUGAGAGACAAGUAUGUAAAAGUUUCUGUGUAUGAUAUUUUUUGUUUGUUUUCAGGUUGUGUUGUUUGAUUUGGUUUAUAUAUCAUCAAAGUAAUCAUACUGUAUAUGUACUUAUAAUUAAUUGAGAAAAUCACAUGGUCCCCAUUUGUCUCCAUUGUCUUCAUAUCAUUGAGAUUGUAUUCAUCUAAGAAAAGUGAGAAGGUUCAUAAUGUGAUAAUGAAUUACUAUAUGCCAAAAAUUUAUGGGACGCUGCUAGAGCUGAGUAUAGAAGGAAAUUUAUAGCUUUAAAAUACUCGUAUUUGAAGUGAAGAAAGUCUUAAGACAGAUAAGCAUCACCUAAAGUUAGAAAAAGAAGAGCAUAUUAAAACCAACAAAAUAGAAAUAAUACAUUAUACAUCUAAAACAGUGAAUUUUAUAUCAUGUGAAAUUGUUUGAAAAAAAAGUGGAAAUAAAAACAUUAAUGAAUAAAAGAAAUGGAAACUA